UACGAAGGGGGCUAGCGUUGAUCGGAAUUACUGGGCGUAAAGGGCGCGUAGGCGGACAGUUUAGUCAGAGGUGAAAGCCCAGGGCUCAACCUUGGAAUUGCCUUUGAUACUGGCUGUCUUGAGUACGGGAGAGGUGAGUGGAACUCCGAGUGUAGAGGUGAAAUUCGUAGAUAUUCGGAAGAACACCAGUGGCGAAGGCGACUCACUGGCCCGUUACUGACGCUGAGGCGCGAAAGCGUGGGGAGCAAACAGG
rnacentral:rRNA from 1 species